AUUGAACGCUGGCGGCAGGCUUAACACAUGCAAGUCGAACGAGUGGCGGACGGGUGAGUAAUGCUUGGGCAUCUAGCUUAUGGAGGGGGAUAAAUACGGGAAACUGUAGCUAAUACCGCGUACCAUAGGAUGAGCCCAAGUGGGAUUAGGUAGUUGGUGAGGUAAAGGCUCACCAAGCCGACGAUCUCUAGCUGGGACGAGAGGAUGACCAGCCACACUGGAACUGAAACACGGCCCAGACUCCUACGGGAGUAAGCAGGGGGGAAUAUUGCGAAAUGGGGGCAACCUGACGCAGCCAUGCCGCGUGAAUGAAGAAGGCCUUCGGGUUGUAAAGUUCUUUCGGUAGCGCGGCGUUAACUACAGAAGAAGCACCGGCUAACUCCGUGCCAGCAGCCGCGGUAAUUC
rnacentral:rRNA from 1 species